rnacentral:rRNA from 1 species
GCCUUAUCGUUUUGACAAAGCAAGAAGUCGGGGCUUUGAAUGCCCGAGAAAGGUAGCGCUCCGUAUAAGGGGAGCGAGAAGGAGAGGUCUAAAAGGCUCAGACUUUGGGUGCGGGAGGUUGCGACGGAGAGGGGUACAAACUGCGCGCGGCGCUCCGCGGAGCGGCCGUAGCAGGUCGAGUGGUUGCGGCGGAGGGGAGGUAGGUUGCAGCGGCAGGAAGUGUUGCAAGUGGGGAGGCGAGGGAGGUUGUGCGGCGCGUAGCGCAGGUACAUGUAGCUCUACGUCUGCUUGGCGGGUACAUAAGUGAGGACGAAGUGCGAGCGGCCGACGCCGACACCGCCUCAAACCGUUCCGGUUAGUGGACCAAUUACGCCCAGCAGCACCGCAUGUACCACUAACUAUCGGAGUGGCACAACGGCCUUUUAUAGGGGCACAACGGGUACAGGCGUAGAGGUCGUAGUGCGAUGACUUGUAGAAGCGCCACCGCCUAGACCCGCGGAACGUCCUCUUCUGGCACGUCUAGCCGAUGUUCCUAUACUCACUCUAGCUAGAUGGCCAGACACAAAAAAUCCUACCAUGGCGUGUGACGGUCAGGCCCGUCCUCGAUGAACCACUGAGGGACUACGUGUCCGUAUACCCAUUUAUUAAAACAAAUCACGAUUCAUCCUCGAUUCAGACGUACACGUAGUCCAUUAUGUUCAGCGACACGCAGUACCACUUCGAUUAAACGACGUGCGAUCGUUAGCUAGGGAGUUCAAGACGGUCUCGUCGCGUGCAAGUAACGAGUGUUCUGACCACGUCUGCGUGCCGAGGUGCUUAGGUGCCUGGUUCCACACCUCCGUCCGACGUCACGGCGUCAUCCGCCUUCGUUGUAUGUAGUAAAUACAGGUAGUUCAGGGCUCUCUUGAUGAUUAUCGAUCGACCUUUCUACAAAAUCUCUUAAACAAACCUCCGGCUGUCGCCCGAGCUCAGAUAGAGACAGAGUGCUUGUCCCACCUGUCCAAGUGCUGAGCUGACUAACUGACUUAGCCUCGUUUGUUAAGUCGUUUGUGGAAUACCCGUCUCCAUCUCUUCGUCUCAUACCCGUGAUCGUGUCGAAUGGAAAAAUAGAAGGAGAACCUGACCGUCGUACCUGACCUUUUAACAGGGUUGGUAGAACCUGUGUGGGGUCCGUCCACGACGGUCGACGGUACCAGCUCCGUACUCCAAGCUGCACCACUAGUUCCUCCACGUCCCUUGUCUCUUUGACUUAUAAAACAAACGUUCUGCCAAUAGUAUAUGAGAUUAAGUCUGUAUUCACUACUGUGUUAUUGCGCGAAGCGGUUAAAGAUUAAGUCCGCCCGCAUCGAAUCGAACCCUGGUUCGUGCACGUUGUUAAUAACAGAAGAAGUACGGGGCAUUCAACGAAGACAGUACGUACAUUUGUUUCUGCGGUGGCUGUCAUUGCCGUACGUAUCACUCCAGCAACGGGCCGUACUAGAACGAAACUCGACGAACCUCUGAACGAAACUCGACGAACCUACUAUGACGAAGUCACAUAAGAACGAACAAACAGGAUAAAAAAGUCACUUUACGACUUCUAUACAUCAACUAACGGUCAUAAACUAGCGGGACGUUAUAAAAAACUGAACCAAUAAACAUAUAACAUGCUCGAACUUAUAACUUAUUCAUCGCAUAGAUAAUUUAAUAUACACCAAAGCAC